AACUUUUGUAAUUUAUCAUGCAUCAAAACAAAUUUUGUCUCUGUUUCGCGAAUUUUAGUGAAGCAAAACGGGUCAUCACUAUUGGUAGCUAUUGGCUAUUUAGCCAUAGUUCCAAGUAUAUCUAAGAUAUUGUUUGGCUUUAAAAGUCAUCCUAACUGACGUUCAGGCUAGGCUUUCUGGUGUGCCUAGGAGACCAAGUAAGCAUUCUCCCCAAACCUGCCUUCAGGUUGGGCCCCCUGCCACUGCCUCAGCCCUCCUCUACAACAUAUAGGGUCGCCCAACAUUUUGGGAAGCACUGGGUUAGGUAUGGGAAGGAUAAAAUGAGCCAAAAGCUUUCGCUAUACAAUAAUUGCCUGUAAAAGCCUUCUUAUAACAGUUCAAACUCUUGUUUUUGGUUUUAAAUGAAUGCUAUAGUUUGUUGCAUAACGAAUAUAAAACACCCUUUGUCCAUAGGGACAUUAAGGAAUGUGUGCAUCAAUCCUACCAUAACUAGUUAGAAUUAAACCUCUAUCAAAUGUGCGUAGCAUGAGACAUUUGCAUAUCUUCUGCUAUGACUUAUAUUACUGCACAGUGAAAACAUUUUUGGCCCUUUUUAGCUUCCCCCACCCUAUGCUCCCAGAUUCCUCCUUUGGUUGCUAUUCAAGUCUUUCUGCUCAGAAGCCAGGUUCCAAAGUCUUCCACUGAUGUAACCUAACAAGACUGAAGCAGAUUGUCUGCAGAUUAGGAUUUAUGGCUCUGGAUCUUUAGGCUGUAUCUGUAGUUAUAAAACAGUGGUUCUGCAGGCAUGGCUGGCAUCUGUGAUAAGAAGGCUUUUAUUGGUAAGAUAAGAAGGCUUUUAUUGUAUUCCAAACAUGGUAAAGUGCUACAAAGUAGCACAGGAUCUCUGUGCCCUGCAAAAUUGCACAUAAUAGAUGUUGGUCAAGUGCUCUUAUUUGAAAGGCUCAUUUUGACCAAGGGCACAGAUAAAUAAUUAAAGUGGAUAAAGCAAUAGUAGCUAUAGAACCUCUUAAACUACAGAAGAUUAAUACCUUCCAUUGAGACUAGUCUGUAUCCUUAGGCAAAUCAUAUAUGUAUUUAAACAGAGUAGAAAACCAUUAGAGGAAAUAGAGUUUAGAUUUGUUUGUUGCUUCUCCUAAUGUUACUCAUUGUAUGAAUUAGGUUAGAUAAUUGCAGUUUGUAUAUGGUGGGAUUGCUCCAUUUUCCUUAUUCCAUUGCUUACCAGGACAUCGGCACUAAUGAUGGAAGAAAUCUGGUUCCUGACUCUUGUUUAACAAUGCUGUGACAGAUCACUUCUCCUUAUAAUAACUUGGAAUGAAGAUUGAAUAAACUCUUCCCAGAAACACAAAACGUUUAUAACCUGAAAAGAUGAAACCCAGUAUAGCCCUUUUCCAAUGGGAAACAGAGGAAAGAAAGUUCCAUGGAUACCGCUGGAUACAACUAGAAAAUAGAAGAUUUAAGCACAGAAAGCAAGUCCAACAAUAGAAUUAACCCAAGACACAUGGCACAUUUAGGCCAGGUUUCUCGUUCUUAUUAUCUGGAAAACAGUUAUCUUUUCUACCAUUACCCUCUGACUGCUAUAGAUUAUUGAAUCCAACCUCAAGAGGCUACUCUUUCUGUUCACAUGUACAGAAGACGUACUACCAUAUUGAUUACAUAUUGAUUACGUGUGAAGCUUUCCAGCAAUUUCAUUCAGCAGAAGCAUCAACAAUCUCCAGCUAAUAAGUCCCAGAGCAACAACUGGGCACAAUGCUCUGAAGCUGUUCUAUAUAAAUCAUGGAGUGAUGUGAGUUAAUUCUCAAGAGAUUGCUUGUAUAAACACAAAAAUCAGAACACCGAGAGACCUUUCCCUCACACAUAAGAGAGAUACCCCAGUUACUGCUCUCUGAAUAUCACCAGCCUUAAUUAGCACUCACCCUGCAUUCACAUGUAAAACCUGCCCUGUUUCUUUUGAUGAAUAAAUGUAUCUGUCCUAGUUUCAA